ensembl:lncRNA
CCUGAAUCAGCCUAAAUUCUAGAAAUCCCAUGGCAUUUGUAAGGUUUGCUGCUCAGCCUUAACUGUCUGAAUCGUGUUCCCUAAAUUGAGGGAAACCAAAUUAUCAGCACCCAAUGAGGGCUGCAAACUAAAAGCUUCAGAAGGCUCAGAUGUCUUUUGCUCUAACAUCUACCGUGACAUUAAGUGUUGAUUAUCCUCUGAAAGUGUUAUGAGGGGUUAACCUGUUGGAGGCCAAUUCAUGCUCUCACCUGCAGAAGGAAGGUCUAGGAGUGAAUAUUUGGGGGAUUUGUAGUUUCUCAACUGAUAGGGAACUUUAUGCUCUCUUGUAUCACACAGUUUGAUGGUUUGGGAAGUUUGUCUUCACACGGAGUACAAACCCUGAUUAAUGUGAUGUUGUUGCUAUGGUCAUUGCCCUAUCACGCAGUGUUUUCUGUUUCUGGCUGUGCCGACAAGGCCUCUAGCACCAGUCUAAGGGCAACGAGUAAUAACAGAGACAAACGGAGUCAUAAUGACCGUCCUCGGAGCAAACAAUUGAUAUGGUAAUGACGUCGGUGGGAACGUGGCUCAUAUCUACAAAGAGAGCGUCGGAGAAUGGAAAUAGGACAGGGCAAAGAACUGAAGGGAUUAAAAAAGCUAUUUGAAGAAGACUCUUGUGAGAUUAUUUCAAGGACCUAGAAUCAGUUCUGGGGAGAAGGAAGAAUCCAGUGUGAUUUUCAUACUGGGAGCAGGUCUGAUGUAUGAGUUGAGCUGACCCAAACUUAAAAUUACUCCGGCAUAGAGAGAACACUGAGAGAAAGAAAUGUGUGCAGAUCUUUAUAAUCUGAAUUUCAUCUUCUGUGCACUUCACAUACUGAGAAAGGAGCUAAAUGUUCCCAUUACAUUUUCAAACUACCAACCACAUACUCUAAACUUACAGUGGAGCACCAGAUCUUCCAGUCAGCCAUGGUCCUGAAGAAUGGGGUAAUGGCUGGAAAACAAAGCAGUUUUGUUUGAGGCUCCACCUCUGCACAGAGCCAGUGCCUAGGCAUGUUUCAAGACUGGCCAUGAAGAUGGGAUCUGCAGCCUACUGAUGCAGAUAAGGCAAUGGAUUGGGGCUCUAGAAAUAUUUAUGUGAAUACCUACUUGAGCCAAGCCAUGAGCAGUAGCUUUUUCAUGCAGUCAAUCUUUUUAUUUUAUGUUUGGCCCCACCAAUGAUCUGCCUUAUUUUUUGGGGGGGGGGGGGGGGGGGUCGGGAGAGAGAUGUUGUCUAUGAAAAACCUCAAAGAAUGGAAAAUCUGGAAGUCUCAUGAGAAUCUACUGCAGUGCUAAUGCCUUCACUGUUAAAGGCUUGUUUCUGCUCUUAAUUAUUCACACUUCAACUUACACAUUUCCAAGCAAAGAACCCCUCUUUCUAGAUGCUUUUUGCGCAGACACUCUUAAACCCCAUCAAGUUGUCUCUUAGCUGUCUCUUUGAUCAGCCAAAUAGAUAGAGUUCCUUAAGUCUCUCUGUAGGGUGCAGUUUUCUAACCAAGAACCAUUUUCAUGCAAUCUAGGAUCUGAGCUAAACAAAGCCUCUUGAGGGAAGAACUUUGGUCAGAUCAAGUCUUGAGAAAAGGCUUAGGAGAUGGACUUUGUUAUCUAAUUACAUUUGGUGUUAAUAAAAACCUGAUUAUACAGCUAUAAAUUCUGCAGUUUUUAUUGUUUUGCUGUGACAAAGACCUGAGUCAUCCAUUGCACUUCUCUGUGAAUAUCUUCCCUUUGAAAUGAUUGUAACAAGCAUGAUUAUAUUACAUCAAUAUAAAUCAACAGUGAUGCCCUGUCCUGGUUAAAAUAUAUUGACGCUUUAUUCGCAACAUCAUGAGUUUCUUUUUAGGCAUUUUCAAAAGUAUAAAUCUCCCUUUCAGAGAUCUCAGUAGCAAAAUUAGCAUUUGCUUUUUGUCCCUGUGCUCACAAUUUUUUCAUGGUUGUCAGUCCAAGUAUUUGGCCUUCAGAGCUGUCUGACGGGAAGCAUAAAUCAGGUGUAUAAAAUGCAGUAUAUGAAAAUGCAGGCUCAGUUUUCUGCAAGAAAAGUUUCCUUUUCACAGGUGUAAAAGUGGAAGUGAAUCUCUGUUUAAAAGGUUGAACACGACUUUAUCACUUCAGAAAAGUGCAGCACUGCAUUGCUGCAGUGAGAAAAUUCUUACUGGCUAACUAAAGGCUAGUAAAUUGUAACGUGUUACUGAAUCUCCCAUGGAAGAAAUCAUGAUCUCAUAAUGGAAAAGUUCACUGGGGUAUAUUAUUACUGGAACAUGUCCUCUAAGAAUAAGGGCAGAAGCUCGUAAUGGAUACGGUGCCAGCACAAUGGCACAUGAGCGUACUCUGCAAUCCGCAUGUCUCUGUGCAGCUUCUCCUCCCACAGAAAGGUCAAUGACAGAGAGGCAAGAGGAUAGACACUGAUUUAUGUGCCCACCACCCUGCUAAGAAAUGCUUUUAACUAGGUUGGGCCUGAGCUGCAAACAGCCCUGCUUAUUUCUGCUAAACAUUAUUAAGGUCAUAAAAUGUCUCAAGAUUCAUGCAAACUUCAUGCCAACUUGGCUGCAGCCCAAUGCGUCUGCUGUAAGAGCCCCCUGAGAACAGUUGGAGAAAUGAUGACGGCAGGUGGCAUGCUGAGCUGGAGCCUGGAAGGGCUUUCUUUGAGAGGUUUUGUGCCUGGUUUUGGCAUUCCAUCUUUCAAUGGGGUGAAAGCAUUUCAAGAAGUAAACCCUGCAAAAAAAGUCUCUUGGCCUCUUAAGCCCCUCCAUGACUUCAAGUGGCAUCUCCGAGUCAGUGGCUGGGGCCUCCCAGGUGUUGUCUGAGAUCAUCUGGAAGUGUAAGAGUGCUGCUUUGGAGAGCAGUGCAGAUUGUGGUAUUGCUUCAGAGAUUGGGCAUGGCAUACCUUUUGGUGCUGCUAGCUUACAAGUUCCAGCAUCCCAGGUUGGCCCAGCAAUCCUCCAAAACGACUUAUUGUGCAGGUGCUCUUCCAAGGGCAGUGGCCUUUCGCUCUCAGGAAAGUUGCAACUUGUUCCCUCCUAUCAGCAGAGUGCAGAGUCCCCAUUGAAGUAGAAGUGAGGCUCAGCACUCAUCCCCCAUUCCCAUAAACAGGGCAUGGCUACAGGGACAAGGCAGCCCCGAGGCUGGGACUGGACCAGGCAGUGGCAAAGGGACAGAGAUGCCUCUUCUGGCAUGUAGGGUAGCUGCGGUGCACCAUGGGUCUGGUCACUUUCAUUUGUCCUACUUCUCUGCAAAGAGAUUGUAGGAUCUCUUCUGUUGAUAUCCCCACUCAUGGGGAAUUCACCAGUGGGCCGAGACUCAGGUAUAUGAAUGCUUCUGCUUUGCAAAAGAUGAGAUGUAUAGUGAAGUUUCAGGCCCCCGGUGUUUUGAUUGGCUCUUCUGUCUGCCCUUAAGGGAUAAACUCUUUAAAUUGCAUGGCAUCAACCAAACAGCAACAACAAAAAAAAAAACGUGUUGCAACCAAACAGUGUCCUCUACAACAAAUAAACUUGUUGCAGCAACUCAUUUCUUAUUAACUCCACUUCCCUAGCAAAUUUGUCUCUCCUCCAGAAAGCUAUAUUAAGAAGACCAGUUUGGUGUGCACACAAAUCAUGGCUUUGUUUAGUAGAUCUGUUCUCUAAUCAGGUCAGGUAAGGGCCCAGAGACCAGUUAUGGGGGCCAUAUAAAUACCUCCAUAGAUAGAGGCAUAGGAGAUAAAAUGCAAAGAUAUUUAUUAUUUUAUGAGGCUCGUUCCUUCUUCCAGAAUCUAAGGAAAAGGUUUUCAUUGAAUGUUAGUAAACUGUCUUUGAUGUAGUGAAAAAUUUAUUAUUUUUGAAAGGUUUGAUCUUUCAUAAAACAAUUCCAGGCUGAAGAAUUUUUGGUGGUGCUGGUGACCUCUAAUGACAUUACCAAGUCACAAGUGACCAUACAUGGCUGUGAUACAGCAGGGGCUGUGCAUGACUUACAGAGUCUCCAGAAGUAUUAUGUGUCCAGCACCCAGUCAAGGCCCUGUGCAAAUGCCAUGAGCGCUUUGUACACAAGUGCUUUCUGCCAUUUCACUUUUUGGUGGGUGACUGGUCUUGUAGGUACAGGGCAUGCUUUCUGAGCUCAGUGGCCGUGGAAGAGAUCACUGCCCAUUUCAGAAGGCAUACAUAACCCUGCACCCAACCUUUUGGGCCGCUGAGAUGGACAAUGCUAAUGCACAGAGCAGGUGAGAACUGCAUUUGCCAGGACUGCCCCAGGAGCAGGCAGCCACCCAAGGUUACACAAACUCGGUGAUGUCCUCAGAGCUGUAGGUGAGGGGUAACUCCAGCUGCUUAUUUUAGGUGGCUGAUGGAUGGGUGCUUUCACAAAGGCGGAUGAGCAGAUGUAGCUGCUUGCACAUCAGUUUAUGAAUGGUAGAACCAAAGUGGUAGAAUCUAAGGGUCUUGCUGAAAGAACUCGUGAGGGGAUGUGGUUGCAGGGGAGUUGGCUGAGGGAAAUCUUUGGUUCAGAUGGGCAGUCAUGUUCCCUCUGAGUACUUCUGCAGUGAGUGACAAGGAGGUGGCAAAACAUGCAAACUCACCAUUGCUUGCUGAUAAAAAUGCACAGAGAAAGCUUGCCCUUUCCUCUUAGAGUUUUAAUCAAGGUUUACGAAAAGCUCUUAGAGUGGAUAGUAUGGUAUCUUAGUGUGAGAUGCUCUGAUUAUAAUGUCUUGCUCCGGACUCUUUUGCCAGUUCGGAGUCAUUAAUAACAAACUAGUGCUUGGGACUGCUGCAGGAAUAGAAACAGCGAUGUUUCUGAGGUUCUCAACUCUCGGUGUGUCUCAACUCUUGGCACGUGAGAGGGCCAGCAACUGGGGAUGAGACAUGAGGUGUUGGAAGUUUAUUUCAGUCCUGGUCUUCACCCUCCUGCCUAUCCUUGGAUUAAAGAAAACGCUGAUUUAUUUCACUGUGUUUGUUUCAGUUGCUGAUUGCUGUUAAUGACUGCAAAGCCCCACCCUUUCUAUUAACGGGUCAGUGCCCAAAACAUACCCACUGUUCGUCAGAUCUACAUAGUUUAAACAGGUGCUCUUUCUAACACAUAAGAAAUAUGAGCUGACUCUUUAAAGUCAAGCUGUCCCACUCACAGCCUAGGAAUAGGGCUCGCUUUUGCAAAUACUCUCAAUGACUGCGAAUUUAAGUAAUGCAAAUCCUGACAACUAGUAUUUGGGAAGCUGUGGUCCCUGUCUGACUCUGAAACAGCUGCUUUAUGAUGAAUGAUCCAGUAAAUUCCCAGCUCAUAGAGCUACCUGAAUUUCAAGCAGUUAGCAGGCAGGGAAAUAAAUGACUGCACUGCCACUGCAUAGUGCAGUAGGCGAAAGGAUUUUCUUUUAUUGCAACCCUUUACCCUAGGGCUAUAUUUAUAGUGGGAAAGAGGAAUACAUCACCCAGUUACACUGCCUAGUGCAGGAUGAACCUUCUGGGACUAUGGCAGGUGAGCCUGUCUCACACACGUCCUCUGAAGGUUGUGGUUGAAAUGCGUUCAGUGGUAAGCAGCUGACCUUUGUGUUCAGUCACCAACAAGAGAAGGAGGGAGGAGUGGCACUGGAGGGACCGGAGGAGGACUCUGGAGGUCCACCUUCUUUGGAAAGUGGAAGGCUCUCUUGGAAACAGCCAAGGUCCCUGGCUUGCAGAGACACUGCAUAGGCCAAUAGGAAGAGUCCCACUGAAUGGCUUUGGGAGCAGACAGCACAGAGUGUGGUGAUUUUCUUAUCUAGAUGCCACCAAAAUUGUGUCUAAAGGGGCAUCCAUGUGGCACAUGCAGAAGUCCUUUAGAUGACUUAUGCUGUCCUAACAAAAGUAGCACUAAACUUCCCCAAGGAAGGAAGACCAGCACUUGGCUGCGCCCAAGAAGAGCUGUCUGCCCAGGCCCUUGGACAACCCACCAAGAGGAACCAGACGUUUUGUGGGGUACACCCAGUACCAAUGGGACUCUUCCCAUUGUCUUAUGCCUGUGCAAGGGGACCUGGACAAGAAGUCUCAGGCAAGAAGGAGCUGAGGCAGGACAACUCCAGCAGAGCCUUUGCUAAUGUUUGCCUCACCUAUGGGGUAGAUGGGCAAGGAAGCCAGGCUGGCUUCUGAGCAAAGACAGGAAGCAGCAUGACAAAGCGUUGCACAGUGGCUGUGUGUGCUGCUUUGGGGAUUAUCGAGGGAGCAGGUCAUUUUCCAGAAUUCAUAUUCAGUGUGCUUAGCUUAAUCCAGUAUUUGCUCCGUUCUCUCUUAAGCGCCACAUCCUACCAGAUACGAUGGCUUUUCAAAGCUCUUUCAGGGGUGAGUUCUUUGUUUGCUUUCUUUUGUGUUUUCUUCUUUUUCCAAAAUAGUGCUGAGGAAAUGUGAGGCAGCCCAGCCCUGCGUACGUGCUGCCACAUUCUGGAAGAUGGAAAACAAAAGCUAAAAGAGGAUGGUUAACCUUUUCUAAUUGUCGCAGCACAGGACUAGUUGCCAGGAGGAACUUGAGCGCUAAUCCUACUUUACUCACCAUGUGACCUUUGGGUAAGUUACCUAAUUACCUUGUCCUUCAGUCAGCAGAGCCUGUAAAGAGCAGGUGUUCCAGUGGAAGCCAGGACUGCUGAGCCAACCUGUGUCUUUAGGAAAUAACCAGAGAAUAAAGCUCGUCACACUUUUUAAAAGGUGGAAUUGAUGCACAGAGGUAAAAUGUUCUGCACAAAGUUUAAUCCUGCCCUCUAAUCUUCUGAUGGGGCACAGGACUGAGCCCAGACUAUACGAUUGCAUGAAAUAUGUAGGUCACUCCAGAAGUAGUGCCUCCUAUUCAUUUUCAUGGAAACCACAACAGAUACAAAGAGCACAAUAACAGUAUUUGAUAGAGCAAAUUCUUAACUACAAAACAGUACUUUUCAACACAGUCACCACCAUUAGCUCUGUGUUUUCACCAGCAAUGAACAAGAGCCUGCAUGACAUGCUCAUAAAAAUCUGCACCAGCAGAAGUGACCCACUGUUUCCCAGCUGCUACGAUGGCAUUGUUGCUAGGAAAACGUUGCCCACACUGUCCAGCUUUCACCGUGCUCACGUCCACUGUUUGGUCUCCGUAAACAUUCAGCAGUCAUUGGUGAACGUCAGUGGGUGCCAUUUUUUUCCACAUGGAGGAAUUCAGUGACACACCUUUGCUUCUUACGUACUUCCACGUCAGAUGCCAUUGUGUCAGACUGUUCCUCUGCUGCCAUCUGUCACACGGCAACAACAUGUAAUGGAAUACUGGUGGGAAGGUUCAACCUCUGCUGCUGUACCACCAACGUCUGCCUCUAAUGUUGUGGGCCAACCUAUUAACACAGAAGGCAUUACUUUUGGAGCUGCUCUCAUAUCAUUCUGGAGGGCAUGUGGUGUUUGUGGAGGAGAGGUCUAGUCAAAUUAUAACUGAAUCAGCUCUGUUCUGCUGGAAUUAAUUUCCCCCAGCUGGGCUGCACGGAUCCUCUGCUUCCCUGGCAGCCCCGUGCUGCUGCUGCCAGGAGCACCCGCCAGGUCCCACAGUGGCUGCCUCCCGGAGGAGGUGGGAUUUCCCCUCUGUGCAGUUCCAUUCAGAAGGAACUUUUGGGCUGAGAUAAAAAACCUCAGCACAAAGAAGUGCUUACAAGCUUUUUCCCCUUCAGUCUCUUCUCCUUCCUGGGUAUAUUUUUUUAAUUGACUCUUCUUAACAGUAGUUUCAUCUCUUUUCUUCCUCAAAUUAUGUGCUAUUAGGUACGUAUACAGUUCUCCUUUUUUUCCAGAUUCUUCACGCUGAUGUAAAAUGAAAAGAUACAAACAGCCGUCCCCAGAGAGUAUUCUCUCUCUUGUGAAAGAUCUUUCACCUUGCAUUGUAAAAGCACUUUACAGAACUAUUUGUUCCCUUUUUGCAUUUGAUGUCGAAGAAAAUGCCAGUGUCUCUCUGCUUUGGAUUACAAACACAUCGUUUAUUAUUAUCUGGCACUCAGGAGGCAAUCCUGCCUCUUGGAGUAGGACCUGCUUAUUUUUCUGGUUUGAUCUCUCUUUCAUUUAAAGGAGGAAAAUUCCAGGGAGAUGCAUUGCAAAGAGCCAAGCUGCACUCAUCUCCUCUUCUCAGCAAGUCUGGUCCUCACAGUCAUUUGCUACAAUGGUCCAGCUGCCUUUUAGGUUCCAGGAUGAAUCCGAGUUGCUGAUAUUCAUCUGUGAGUAUACCACUUCUCAGGGAGACUGCCAGUUUGACCCAGAGCCAAGUUUCACAGAGGUGCUGCAGCUGGUGCAAGUAGGUCAUUAAUGGUGAGGGUCUCCCACUUCGAAAUUACUCUUCUCUGUUUUUGACCUGAAAUAACCUGUUGAAUCAAUCUGUGUCCACUUGUGAGCAUCAGGCUCCAAGACAGUUGUUGACCAACUGGAGAGCGUCCAGCAGGAAGGCAGGAACAAGAGCGAUCAGAGGGCUAGAAAACAUGAGCUAUGAGGAAAGACUGAAAGAGUUGGGUUUGUUUAGUCUAGGGGAUUGAAGACGGUUAGACGUGAUAACACCCUUCAAGUAUGUGAAAGGCUACUGCAAAGAGGAAGGAUAAACUGCUCUUCAUGUCUGCUGGGGACAGGAAAGGAAGUAAUGGGCUUAAAGUGCAACAAAGGAAAUUCAGGUGAGAUGUUAAGAGACAUUUUCCAGUUGUGAGACUCAUGAAUUGCUGGGAUGAUUAGCUGUGUGAAAACACUGCCAUGGGAAGGUCUGAGCAAUGGCUGAGAUAACUAUCUGAAAUCCAGCACCUUCAGCACAGCAGAUCCUAUCUGGAGGCUGGUGGAAGGGUAAGAUGACCUUAAAAAUUUCUUCCAGCUCAGUUUUUUGUAUGAUUUCUGUUAUCAAAGCAGAAAUUCACAAAGCUGGCUCUCAAUUAUCUGGAGGGUAUUUUGCUCCUGGGCACUUCUCUGGUUUUAUGAAUUGUUGUUUCAUGGGAGGAGGGUUCUGGGGAAGUUGUUCAUCCUGAGAUCAUCUAGAAGAAAAUCCCAAAUUAAAAACACUUGAAGGGUGUUACAAAUGCAACCAAACAAAAGUGAAGGGCAGGUUUCUCUGCUGCUGUAAAAAUAAGGCUCCUUGCUGGGCCAGCUGCCCUCAUCAGUGUCCUAAACCAUCCAUCCAGUGGUGGCCAAUGUGGUGGUCUUUGCACCAAGUACAACCUGAGUCCAACAAAAAUAAACAAAUGGACACCUGAGCACUCAGGAGCAGCCAGGAAUUGCUGGGAUUCUUUAUGUAACUCAAUAAAAGGGAAAGAAACAAAACAAUAGCAAAUCCUGACGCACACAACAAUCCCUCCUUCUCCAGUUUCACAGAGAAGCAAGUUCCAACGCUGUCAAGUCAAAGAUUAAAUAAAAAGAAAAAGCCAAGAGGCACACUGCCAUGCAUAUAUUAGAUGUGUGUAGAACAACGGCAUGCACACCUUCACAGAAACAAACACUGUGAGAUGAGCAAGGGUUUAAGAUCCAGCAAAGAAGCCGCCUUCUCAGCAAGUUCAUUGAGCCUGUAUUUUUAGGCCUUACUUUUCUUUAAUCCCAUCCAUUUUUAACAAUGGAACAUUAAGCAACUGAUGCUUUCCUAGAGGACAGCCCCACAAUUGGUUAUCAUUGAACUGGAGCUCCCCAGGCUGUGGCCACCAUGAUGCUACUCCCCAGGGAGGCCAGAGUUUGGCUCAGCUGGUGUGAGCAUCAGGCUGGUUUAGGCAUUUCAGACAUCCGUGCAGAAAGCAGCUCUCCUCUUUCCCCGAGCUGAGCUCCUUUCUGUUGCUCUUCUGCAUCCUUUUUGUCCUCUUGUGUACUCUUCUGGAAUUUAGCUUUGGGAAGCACGCACCAGCCAGGGGCCAAUGAGCUCGUUCGACCUUCCACUUCAUCUGUGACAGAUUCAUUUUUAAGUGGGAAUAAUGAUAAAUGCUGAUGAGGUGCAAGAUUUGACAUUCAUAUGGGAGUGCAGAGCAUGCAAUUUCUGAUUUCAAUGAAAUCCAGAAAUGGGCGGAUAUUUUUUCUUUUAUCUGCAAAGUUUUGAAGAUCAGCAGUGCAUUUGAAGCUUUUAGCUUUCAAAGGGCCUUCUUUUCCAUUGAUUUUCUGGUUGCAUAGAACUUUAGCUCCAUCAUUUUUGUUUUGAAAAAAAUCAGAAUGAAAAAAAUCUUAAUUUCAAAUUAAACAUGGAGAGCUUUCUGUGCAAGCAGGAUCCAUACUUGGUGCUGUCAAUACUUGGGAUAUGCAUGGAACUCUUGGACUGAUCUGCUGACAUGCACCAAGGAUAAGGUUCUCCCUCUGCCUAGACUAGCACUGGCAUCAAGGCAGUGCUCAGAGAACACUGUCACAUAGUUCAGCUGACCAAGUUCAGUGUUUAGUUUUCUUUUGGAAUCUUGUUUCUGUGGAUUAAUAUAUAUAUAUACUUUUGGACAAACAGUCAUUUUAAUAUCUCGGGGUAUUCCUUCCAGCAAGACAUGGACACCUCCUUUGGUUGUGUUGUUUCAUGAAUGCAACUGAUGUGAGCGUAGGUCAGCCCCGGGUAACGCUCUGUGUGUCUGGGAUGUCCUUGGGAGCACGGAUCACCUGGAUCCCAGAUGGCUGAGGCUGAUGCAUAUGGAGCAUUGCAUAAAUGCCUUAUUGUUCCUCCUAUCCUUUUCCAGUUGCUGCUUGGUGAAACAGUUACUGAGUUCAGUUUCACUCUCUGUGCUGUACAUACAGGUCAUACAGAUGCUUUAAGAUGCUGCCGAAUUGUUCUUUGGAAAAGAAAAAAGAAAAAAGAAGGAAAAAGGAAAAGGAUAUUAAGUCUUUUCACAAACCUGCAAUUGGAGUGUUUACUUUGGGUACUGAACACCCAACCCAAGUUACUGAAGCAAGUAAUCUCCUGAUGCCUGUUGCCACACGCACCUCCAACUGCUACUCACACAGCAGCCAGACAAGUGCAGCUCAAGGCUGUAGCUUCAUUGUACUGCUUCAGAUGCUGGCUGGAGGGAUGUCUUUUUCUCUUGUUCAACAACAUUUAGGUAACUUUAGAACAGGGACACCUACAGCUCCAUCAGGUGCUCAGAGCCCUGUCCACCCUGACCCUGAGCGUCUCCAGGGAUGGGGCAUCAACCACAUCUCUGGGUAACCUGUGCCAGUGCCUCACCACUCUUACUGUAAAAACAUCUUCCUUAUGUGCGAUCAAAAUCUCUUGGUCUGCAGAAGGUCUGGAGCGUGGCAAUGCUGUGCUCAAUUUCUCUGCUGCCACUCCUGCCAGCUCUUGCUCAAGCAGAACAUCUCUAAAGGCCAAGGAGGAAUUCCGCCUGUAUGAACGUCACAAAUCUGAAAACCUCUGCUGGCAGUACUGCUUUCCAGGAACACUGAUGGGGAGUUGUAGGCUAAGCACACUGCAGGCAAGCUGUGGAGUUAGCGUGCACUAGGCCUGACACAAGGUGAAGCAUUCUGGCUGCUCUCAUAUCCAAUGUGGACCAGUCAAACUGGUAUAGAGCCCUUGACUUUGAACAAGUGACAAGGCUGCAGUCUUUCAGGUGACUAAACCAUUAUGUGUCUACCAUAAAGGCCAAAAGAAGUGAAGCCAGCUCAGGCUGUAACAUCUAAAGCACCUGAAAUUGAAGGAAAUGUGAUUAAACUGAUCAAAUGGGUCAUACCUAUGUGACCCGUGCUGCAAAGGUAGGCAGAAAAGCCCACCCCGCCAGCCUGAGCUGCAAACAGCAGCAUCUGGCAAAAGACUCCUUAUUGUAGGUAUCAAGAUGCUGGUAGCUGUGCCAUUUCAAAGAAAAACAGUGGCAUUCUUGCUUCAUUGAAGCAUGACAAAGCAAAAACGGUCAGUGUUUGGCCUGUGCCCAAGUGUCAGGAUGCCUUAUAACUGCCACACAUACGAAGUCUGCAUUUUCAAGAAACUUCUGAAGUAGAGGAAGAAUGAGGAAAGCAGGGCUAAACCAGCAGGUAUGUAUUUUGCUUGUGCAUAUUGCCAUGAGCAAGCUUGCAGGCAGUUGGGCAAGGAAGGUCGGGCUUGACCAGUUUCCCCCAGGCUGUGCCUCUGCAGUCCCAGGAGGUCCAGCCCUCCUUGGUGAGCUGGUGUGCACUGAGUGUGCAUGUGCCAUGAACCUAGGAGAAGUCCCUUCAGUAUAAAUAGGCAUCCCAGGAUAUCUGAGGACUCCAACUGACUCAAUGGCAACUAUCUCAGGUAUGUCAGCCCAUGCAACUCUUGCAUUUCCCAGCUGCAGCCUACAUAGCUGGAGAGUUAAUGGGCAUGGAGAAUCUGGCUCCCUUGAUCCCAAGUGUCCAAGGAAUGACCCAGCCAUCUGCAGGAAUCAUUACCGUCCUCUGCAAGGGGGUACAAGGUCAAACCAAUUGAACGUUGUCUAAAGAGGAUCUUGGGGAGGGAAUGUUUUCAUUACAACAGUUCAUCUUUCUUUUCACAGUUCAUCAAAAGCAGGCCUUCUGCAUACACACGCAAGACAAAUAGGAAGGAGGGGUGAUGACAGAUACUGUAGGCCCAUGGUGAUUGGGAUGACCCUCCACUCACACAGUUGAUCAAAGGCAAGUAAAACAAUCAGCCAGCCAUCAGCAACAAUGUAAUAUUAAGCUCCUAAAACACCCCAUUUAAUUAAGUCAUUAUGAUCAAAAUCUCUAUACCAGAUCUUUUAAGUUAUACACGCAUAGACCUUGCCUUAAGAUAGCAGAAAAAACUUCCGGAGGGAAAGCUGCUGUUAACAACUAUUAAUGAAAUCAUAUCUCCUCCUCCCAUCCCCCAGAUCAAUUGUUCUUUGGAAGGAUAUACUUCUGCCUCAUUUCCCCACAUGGAGCUCAGAAAGCUGGGCACUUUUCUUCUGUCUAGUGCUUUGUCAUUUAUGAUGUCAGCUUCUUUUUGGGAUGAUCCCUAUGAUGUCACAGAGCCUACCUUUGUGAACCUGCUGCUGGCCUAACAAGCCUGAUCCAAAACACACUGAAGAAAUUAUCUGGCCCCUUGCACGUGCAGUCCCAGCACAGGAGGGAUGGAGAAGAGCACUUUGCUUUCAUUGAGAAUAUAUCAAUAGGAAAGCACUUGCACUGUUCAGCCUGGUUCCUGUAGUGUAGGGAUUUCUGAUCCAGGCAAGAACAAGAUGGGAUGUAAAAUGCAGCUACUCUGGAGACAGAUCUCAAGUUUUCACUAAACUCAAGAGCAUCUUUGGAGGAUGGUUGAGACUCCUUAAAUGUCUGUGUUUGGAUAAGAUGCAUCCUCCUCUGGAAGCUUCUCUCUCUGUUGACUGGAGGGAUCUGUGAAGCAGACAGAUCUGAGAAACUAGCUUAAACUAGCUAGAUAAAUGAGUAGAGAUGAGUCCCAUCGUUUAGGUUUGUAGUAAUUACUAUAAAGACUUCAGACAGUGUAAUGAUGACAAAUGGAUAGACUUUUAAUUCCUAGAUGAAAAAUAUAUUGGUUUUGUUGAUUUAUUUUUCUCUGCUUUCAUCGUUGGCUUAAGGCAAUCUAAUUCAGUACUACCUCUGCAAGUGGUGACUCAGCCCUCCAUCAUUCAUUCCCACCUCAUCACCUCUGCACCUUGGAGAUUGUGCAGUUGAGCACUCAGAUGAGGGAACUCUUCCCUUUUUUCCUGUUUUCUGCUGACUGGAGUGUUUAGCUGGAUCAGCCUCGAGCACUUGGUCUCCCAGAUGUGUGAGCCCUACAGCUAGCACAGGAGGGGGGAAGGGAACUCAUGGGCAGGGGCAGAAAAGCAAUGUUACAUAUCUUGGCAAAAAAAUCUGACUUGGAUUGGCUCAUUCCGGUCAUGAAAACACACCUAACUCACUUGUGAUCUGGUAACACCGUAGUGAGAGAUUCUACUUCUCAUUACUGGUUUCCUGAGUCAUCUGAGCAAUGGUAAUUUCCCUACCGCUCUUUUCAUUAUAGAAGGGCAUGGCAAUUAGGAAGAGUAAAACUUGCCAUAUGCUUUAAGCCAGCCAUGAGUUCAUCAAGCACCUGAAAGGAAAUCUGUCAACGUACUGCUUGGCAUGAAGCAGAUGACUUCCGCACUUGUAGUAGCACAACAGCAUUAGCCAGCACUAGGCAGGGAAGAAGGCUCAGGGGAAGGAGCAAGGGUCUUUACCCUGGAUGUUUUGAGCCACAGGAGCAGUUCCUGGAGCAGGCUACAGCUAAAGGAGUGAUGUCCCAGAGCUGGUGUAAAGAGGACUUCUGGACAGGCUAGGCUUGUAAGCCCAUCUCUUCUAAUUGUGUAUCUUGGCAAAUGGGUUGCAUCCAGGACUUUGUAAUUUGCUUACCCCAGAAGUAGAACCUUUUAUUCUGUGUAAACAGUAGGUGAGCAUUGACCCAAAUAUCAUAACCCAAACAGUGACAUCCUUAGAAAAUCCAGAUGCAUUUUCCAAGUGUCAGAACCAAGGGAAAAAACAAAGAAAGAGAAGGGAAGGGCUUAACUAAACAAUUUCAUCUGAUGAUCCAUGAAGAAAUUCCCCAUAAAUGUCAGUGGGAGAGCUUUCUCUCAGGCAAUUUGCUGUUUGCUGGGCAUUUGUUGCCACAGAGUUCAGUCUGGCUUUAGUGACCACCCUGGCUGCGUUCCCUGUCUUUGCACUGACCAGCCUACUAUCAGUCAAGAGCAAAGCAGUGUGGGGAAGAGGCGCUGAACUUCAGUAGAAAAGAACCCCCUAAACCUUAUCAUUAAGUCUUCCUCAGGGACUUGGAUUUUGAUCAGACUCCCCAAGGGUUGCGUAAAUAACGCCAAAGCAACCCUGGACUGUGCAUUCAAAAAUAACACAAUGAACGCAGACAGUGGAAUGGAGAACACAAAUGAGCUGGUGAAAUCUUUCCUGUGAAUUGCUGAGGAAACAGCUGUCCUAGAGGAUCACGUAACAGUGAACUGGAGUCUUCUGCUCUUCAAGGAGCCAUUCAAGAUGGUAUUUUUCCUUUACCACCUGUUGGAACAGUUCAAGAUUCUUCUAAAAUCCUAACUCACUACUUUCUAGCUUGGGGGCUAGAACAUGCCUGGGGUAGGGAGUUACCUGAGCCGUGAGCUUUGCUCCGAGGAGGAGUUCAUCGUUUUUGCAAAGUUGAACGUCAUCAGAAGUCCCAGAAAACCACUCACCCCUAGGAUGAGUGCAUGAGGCCCAGAUCUGGGAGGUGGCCAAGAUGUCAGCUUAAGAUGGUUCUCACUCAUCACCACACUGUGCUUACGGUUGACUUCAAGCUUCCCAGUGACUGGAAUAAAUUAAAAAAAAAAAAAAAGUUUCAGCAACAAAACAAAGAAACAAAACAAUAGACUUGUUUUGUUUCUAACUAAACCAAAACACUUCGUGACCAUUUUUUUUUUCUUUAUUUUGUCUGUUGAAGUAGUAACUUCCACAGUAUUAAAGGCAGUGGAUGACAUACAUCACCUGUGCUGGUAAACCAUCC